AACUUCACUAUCACAAAAGAAAGAGGUUAAAUGGAUAAUAAUCGUAGUCGAGUAAUUAAUAACCUGCCCAAGUAGCGUUUAGAUAUCUUUUAUCUGUACAUAGAGUAUGACAUUUUCGUGCACUACGAACCGUACCGUACUAAAGUUUCAUCUGAAAACUGUUGAGAUCGACUACAAAAGUUUUUAACAAUAGUAGCACAUGCUUCGACGAAUCUUCAUUCGGAAUCGUCCAAAGGCAGCCCAAGGGAGACCUAACAACUCAAGGGCAGCUGAGAAGUUUCGGCGAGUAAUUCAACGGGCUGACGCAUGGGUUAGGUUACACGUCGAAGUCUUUGCCCAGUACCACGACUAAAGUUACCAGAAUCUCCAAGCCUAAUUCUACUGUUACAGCUGAAUGCGUUUAAUGCAAGAGUUAUUGGAUCUGAUGGAUUCAUACGGACGUGGAAUAUAUUUUAUGAUCUCUCACAGCUACAUCUCCUUAUGUUCACACGUGAACACGCGACAGGCCGAGACGCUCAACACAUAUGUUUACGAUUUAUCAAGGGCACUGAAGAAGGAAUUUAAGCCCCGGGGUUAGAUUGAGCCUUUGUCCAGAUGUCAAUUCAUCUUACUCGAAUGAUUUAUGUUGAUGAUUUAUUUCUGUUCUAAAAUUAUGGUAAGUUUUUUAAGCCAGCAAUAAACAUGAUAAUAAAGUUCUAUUAGAAUUAUCGAACUAAAAAAUGAGAUGAUUUUACGAUACGGUAAUGAAGUACCAUUACUAAUUUAGAACAUAAAGUAC